rnacentral:rRNA from 1 species
CCCUUAGAUGUUCUGGGCCGCACGCGCGCUACACUGAUGCAUUCAACAAGCCUAGCCUUGACCGAGAGGUCCGGGUAAUCUUUGAAACUGCAUCGUGAUGGGGCUAGAUUAUUGCAAUUAUUAAUCUUCAACGAGGAAUGCCUAGUAAGCGUGAUUCAUCAAAUCGCGUUGAUUACGUCCCUGCCCUUUGUACACACCGACCGUCGCUCCUACCGAUUGAAUGUGUUGGUGAGGAGCUCGGAUUGGCAGCAGUUGGUGGUUCGCCACCGGCUAUUGCUGAGAAGUCCUCCAAACCGCCCCAUUUAGAGGAAGGAGAAGUCGUAACA